GACGAACGCUGGCGGCAGGCCUAACACAUGCAAGUCGAGCGCCCCGCAAGGGGAGCGGCAGACGGGAGAGUAACACGUGGGAACAUGCCCUUCAGUUCGGAACAACCCAGGGAAACUUGGGCUAAUACCGGAUACGUCCGUAAGGAGAAAGAUUUAUCGCUGAAGGAUUGGCCCGCGUCCGAUUAGCUAGUUGGUGAGGUAAUGGCUCACCAAGGCGACGAUCGGUAGCUGGUCUGAGAGGAUGAUCAGCCUCACUGGGACUGAGACACGGCCCAGACUCCUACGGGAGGCAGCAGUGGGGAAUAUUGGACAAUGGGCGCAAGCCUGAUCCAGCCAUGCCGCGUGGGUGAUGAAGGCCCUAGGGUUGUAAAGCCCUUUCGGCGGGGAAGAUAAUGACGGUACCCGCAGAAGAAGCCCCGGCUAACUUCGUGCCAGCCGCCGCAGUAACAC
rnacentral:rRNA from 1 species